rnacentral:rRNA from 1 species
CUCAACCUGGGAACUGCAUUGGUGACUGGCAGGCUAGAGUAUGGCAGAGGGGGGUAGAAUUCCACGUGUAGCAGUGAAAUGCGUAGAGAUGUGGAGGAAUACCGAUGGCGAAGGCAGCCCCCUGGGCCAAUACUGACGCUCAUGCACGAAAGCGUGGGGAGCAAACAGGAUUAGAUACCCUGGUAGUCCACGCCCUAAACGAUGUCAACUAGUUGUUGGGGAUUCAUUUCCUUAGUAACGUUGCUAACGCGUGACGUUGACCGCCUGGGGAGUACGGUCGCAAGAUUAAAACUCAAAGGAAUUGACGGGGACCCGCACAAGCGGUGGAUGAUGUGGAUUAAUUCGAUGCAACGCGAAAAACCUUACCUACCCUUGACAUGGUCGGAAUCCCGCUGAGAGGUGGGAGUGCUCGAAAGAGAACCG